UACGUAGGUGACAAGCGUUGUCCGGAUUUACUGGGCGUAAAGGGCGCGUAGGCGGGGUGGCAAGUCUGUGGUGAAAUCCUCCGGCUCAACCGGAGAACUGCCGUGGAUACUGCCAUUCUCGAGGGGUGUAGGGGCAUGUGGAACUCAGGGUGGAGCGGUGAAAUGCGUAGAUAUCCUGAGGAACGCCGGUGGCGAAAGCGACGUGCUGGACACCUACUGACGCUGAGGCGCGAAAGCCAGGGGAGCGAACGGG
rnacentral:rRNA from 1 species